rnacentral:rRNA from 1 species
GGUUAAGUGACUAAGCGUACACGGUGGAUGCCUUGGCAGUUGGAGGCGAUGAAGGACGUACUAACUUGCGAUAAGCCUAGUCAAGCCAGUAAGAGGCGCUUGAGACUAGGAUUUCCGAAUGGGGAAACCCACCUGCUUGCAGGUAUCGUUAACUGAAUACAUAGGUUAACGAGGCGAACGCGGAGAACUGAAACAUCUAAGUACCCGUAGGAAAAGAAAUCAACCGAGAUUCCGAAAGUAGCGGCGAGCGAAAUCGGACCAGCCCUUAAGCUUUAGUGUAGUUAGUGGAACAUGUUGGAAAGCAUGACGAAACAGGGUGAUAGUCCCGUACACAAAAACUUAUCUAAAGUGAAAUCGAGUAGGUCGGAGCACGUGAAACUUUGACUGAAUAUGGGGGGACCAUCCUCCAAGGCUAAAUACUCCCAACUGACCGAUAGUGAACCAGUACCGUGAGGGAAAGGCGAAAAGAACCCCUGUGAGGGGAGUGAAAUAGAACCUGAAACCGUGUACGUACAAGCAGUAGGAGCCUACUUGUUGGGUGACUGCGUACCUUUUGUAUAAUGGGUCAGCGACUUAUAUUCUGUAGCGAGGUUAACCAUUUAGGGGAGCCGUAGCGAAAGCGAGUCUUAACUGGGCGCUUAAGUUGCAGGGUAUAGACCCGAAACCCGGUGAUCUAGCCAUGGGCAGGUUGAAGGUUGAGUAACAUCAACUGGAGGACCGAACCCACUAACGUUGAAAAGUUAGGGGAUGACCUGUGGCUAGGAGUGAAAGGCUAAUCAAACCGGGAGAUAGCUGGUUCUCCCCGAAAUCUAUUUAGGUAGAGCCUCGGACGAAUACUUACGGGGGUAGAGCACUGUUAAGGCUAGGGGGUCAUCCCGACUUACCAACCCUUUGCAAACUCCGAAUACCGUAAAGUAAUAUCCGGGAGACACACGGCGGGUGCUAACGUCCGUCGUGGAGAGGGAAACAACCCAGACCGUCAGCUAAGGUCCCAAAGUGUAUGUUAAGUGGGAAACGAUGUGGGAAGGCUAAAACAGCUAGGAGGUUGGCUUAGAAGCAGCCACCCUUUAAAGAAAGCGUAAUAGCUCACUAGUCGAGUCGGCCUGCGCGGAAGAUGUAACGGGGCUAAACAUACCACCGAAGCUACGGCUGCGAACUUAGUUCGCGGGGUAGGGGAGCGUUCUGUAAGUGGCUGAAGGUGUGCCGGGAGGCAUGCUGGACAUAUCAGAAGUGCGAAUGCUGACAUGAGUAACGACAAGAGGAGUGAAAAACUCCUCCGCCGGAAGACCAAGGGUUCCUAUCCCAUGUUAAUCAGGGUAGGGUGAGUCGACCCCUAAGGCGAGGCUGAAGAGCGUAGUCGAUGGGAAACGGGUUAAUAUUCCCGUACUCGGUAUGAAUGCGAUGGGGGGACGGAGCAGGCUAGGCAAGCAUGGCGUUGGUUGUCCAUGUGAAAGGCUGUAGGCUGGUGACUUAGGAAAAUCCGGGUUGCCAAGGCUGAGAGUCGAGACGAGCCACUAAGGUGGUGAAGUUGUUGAUGCCCUACUUCCAGGAAAAGCCUCUAAGCUUCAGUUCAUACUGAAUCGUACCCUAAACCGACACAGGUGGUCAGGUAGAGAAUACUAAGGCGCUUGAGAGAACUCGGGUGAAGGAACUAGGCAAAAUUGUACCGUAACUUCGGGAGAAGGUACGCUCUUGUUUGUGAAGGACUUGCUCUGUAAGCAAACGAGAGCCGCAGUGACCAGGUGGCUGGGACUGUUUAUUAAAAACACAGCACUGUGCAAAAUCGUAAGAUGACGUAUACGGUGUGACACCUGCCCGGUGCCGGAAGGUUAAUUGAUGGGGUUAGCUUAGGCGAAGCUCUUGAUCGAAGCCCCGGUAAACGGCGGCCGUAACUAUAACGGUCCUAAGGUAGCGAAAUUCCUUGUCGGGUAAGUUCCGACCUGCACGAAUGGUGUAACCAUGGCCACGCUGUCUCCACCCGAGACUCAGUGAAAUUGAAAUCGCAGUGAAGAUGCUGUGUACCCGCGGCUAGACGGAAAGACCCCGUGAACCUUUACUACAGCUUGGCACUGAACAUUGACCCUACAUGUGUAGGAUAGGUGGGAGGCUUUGAAGCAGAGACGCUAGUUUCUGUGGAGCCGACCUUGAAAUACCACCCUUGUAGUGUUGAUGUUCUAACUUAGGCCCCUGAAUCGGGGUUGAGGACAGUGCCUGGUGGGUAGUUUGACUGGGGCGGUCUCCUCCCAAAGAGUAACGGAGGAGCACGAAGGUUUGCUAAGUACGGUCGGACAUCGUACGGUUAGUGUAAUGGUAGAAGCAAGCUUAACUGCGAGACAGACACGUCGAGCAGGUACGAAAGUAGGUCAUAGUGAUCCGGUGGUUCUGAAUGGAAGGGCCAUCGCUCAACGGAUAAAAGGUACUCCGGGGAUAACAGGCUGAUACCGCCCAAGAGUUCAUAUCGACGGCGGUGUUUGGCACCUCGAUGUCGGCUCAUCACAUCCUGGGGCUGAAGUCGGUCCCAAGGGUAUGGCUGUUCGCCAUUUAAAGUGGUACGCGAGCUGGGUUUAGAACGUCGUGAGACAGUUCGGUCCCUAUCUGCCGUGGGCGUUUGAGAAUUGAGAGGGGCUGCUCCUAGUACGAGAGGACCGGAGUGGACGAACCGCUGGUGUUCGGGUUGUGAUGCCAAUUGCAUUGCCCGGUAGCUACGUUCGGAACUGAUAACCGCUGAAAGCAUCUAAGCGGGAAGCAGGCCUCGAGAUGAGUUCUCACUUUGACUUAGAGUCAACUGAAGGGCCGUUGAAGACUACAACGUUGAUAGGCGAGAUGUGGAAGUGCUGUGAGGCAUUAAGCUAACUCGUACUAAUUACCCGUGAGGCUUAACCAU